rnacentral:rRNA from 1 species
AGUUUGAUCCUGGCUCGAAUGAACGCUGGCGGCAGGCCUAACACAUGCAAGUCGAACGGAGUUAUAUUGUANCUUGCUAUGGUAUAACUUAGUGGCAGACGGGUGAGUAAUGUAUAGGAAUCUACCUAGUAGUACGGAAUAAUUGUUGGAAACGGCAACUAAUACCGUAUACGCCCUACGGGGGAAAAAUUUAUUGCUAUUAGAUGAGCCUAUAUUAGAUUAGCUAGUUGGUGGAGUAAUAGCCUACCAAGGCAAUGAUCUAUAGCUGAUCUGAGAGGAUGAUCAGCCACACUGGAACUGAGAUACGGUCCAGACUCCUACGGGAGGCAGCAGUGGGGAAUAUUGGACAAUGGGCGAAAGCCUGAUCCAGCCAUGCCGCAUGAGUGAAGAAGGCCUUUGGGUUGUAAAGCUCUUUUAGUGAGGAAGAUAAUGACGGUACUCACAGAAGAAGUCCUGGCUAACUCCGUGCCAGCAGCCGCGGUAAUACGGAGAGGGCUAGCGUUAUUCGGAAUUAUUGGGCGUAAAGGGCGCGUAGGCGGAUUAGUAAGUUAAAAGUGAAAUCCCAAGGCUCAACCUUGGAAUUGCUUUUAAAACUGCUAAUCUAGAGAUUGAAAGAGGAUAGAGGAAUUCCUAGUGUAGAGGUGAAAUUCGUAAAUAUUAGGAGGAACACCAGUGGCGAAGGCGUCUAUCUGGUUCAAAUCUGACGCUGAGGCGCGAAGGCGUGGGGAGCAAACAGGAUUAGAUACCCUGGUAGUCCACGCUGUAAACGAUGAAUGUUAAAUAUGGGAAGUUUUACUUUCUGUAUUACAGCUAACGCGUUAAACAUUCCGCCUGGGGACUACGGUCGCAAGAUUAAAACUCAAAGGAAUUUGACGGGGACCCGCA